rnacentral:lncRNA from 1 species
ACUUCGUUCCGCGCCUCAAAGGCGGAGUGCGGGGCUGUGGGAGAAAACGAGAGCCUCGGGCUGUCGCCCGGCGACGGGCGGCUGAGGCCUUCGUAUUCUUAGAACUUUUAGAAUCUGAAGCAAACUUAUCUUCCCCCUGUCUGAAGAAGGGGAGCAGGUUUCUGAGUACUCCGGGGCGCGGUGCCUCCCCCUAAACGCGAAUGGUGCGCUCCAAGCGGGAGGGGGAGGAGCAGAUUAGUUGUGUAGGGUAAAUUGGGCCAGUCCCAGAGUGGCGGCGCAUGCGCCCGUAGAACCCGUAACCGAGUGCGAGGAGGGGCCUGGGGGAGCAAUGCCAAACGCGGAAGUGGAGCUCUGGCUUCCCGGGGGCGUCGGAGUCAAGGUCCCUGGAGCUGCCGCUCUGGCUCCUGGGCGAUUCCGGGGAGCCAUUCUCCCCAAUUUGCCAACUCCCUGGGCAUCUCUCUCUCUCUUCCUGGUCCCGCCACACCCAAACAACUCUUAUAGUUCCACCCGGUAUACUGGUCUCUUGACAGGAACUUUUGGGAAAUGCCCCUCCCCCAGCCCCUUGUCUGGGGCAACUUCCUUGUCUCUUCUCCCCCACCGGUGUUGGGGAGUUCCUUGUCUCCACUCCCAACCACAGAGCCACAAGUACAUUAUCUAUGCCCAGGCGAGUCCCUAUGCCCAGGCUAGGAGAGCCGCACUUCUUCCUACAGCUGACACGUUUGGUUUUUGGAGGGGAAAGGGGAGCUGUAGCUGAAUCAGUAAUGGAAAUUGAUGAACCUGUGAUGUGACUCCUGGGAGUAGUUUGCAAUCACCAUUGGCCCAAAAGGAGCCAUCUACGUGCUCAGUGGGGUCUAGUAAAGGAUAAUAUUAAUUCUUCAGCAGCCAGAGCUUUUGAAGUAGGAACUGAGGGUGUAUAGAAAAGAGCCUGGUAUGAUUCAAGGUCAGGAGCAAACAAUGGCUGCCUUCUUGGUAAGAAUUCAAAAGACCUACUUAGCCCUGGAAGACUUUACCAAAAAGAAGGGACUUGUAGAGACCUGAGAGAAAGCAGAUGAUCCUCCACUCUAAUUCUAAUCCCUACCCUUGAAACUCACUCUCAGUUCAAAACUUGUCAUCAUUAUAAUCCAUCCUAACCUAGUAUUAGCC